rnacentral:ncRNA from 1 species
CCAAGUCCCAACGCACUCCCCCCGAGCGGCGGGACCUUCCCCGAGCCGGACUCCGGCGCCUCACCCCCCCUUGGCGCCGGGGUCCGGCUCCAUA